rnacentral:tRNA from 1 species
UCCCUGGUGGCUCAGAGGUUAAAGCGUCUGCCUCCAAUGCGGGAGACCUGGGUUCAAUCCCUGGGUUGGGAA